CCUACGGGUGGCAGCAGUGGGGAAUAUUGGACAAUGGGGGGAACCCUGAUCCAGCGACGCCGCGUGAGUGAAGAAGUCAUUCGGUAUGUAAAGCUCUAUCAGCAGGGAAGAAAGUAAUGACGGUACCUGAAUAAGCAGCCCCGGCUAACGACGUGACAGCAGCCGCGGUAAUAAGUAGGGGGCAAGCGUUAUCCGGAUUUACUGGGGGUAAAGGCGGCGUAGGCGGCGAUGCAAGUCUGAAGUGAAAAGCGGGGGGCCAACCCCCGGACUGCUUUGGAAACGGUAUGGCUGGAGUGCAGGAGAGGUACGUGGAAUGCCUAGUGUAGCGGUGAAAUGCGUAGAUAUUAGGAGGAACACCAGUGGCGAAGGCGGCGUACUGGACUGUAACUGACGUUGAGGCUCGAAAGCGUGGGGAGCAAACAGGAUUAGAUACCCCUGUAGUC
rnacentral:rRNA from 1 species